CUUGCUUUCUUUUGCUGGCGACCGGCGCACGGGUGAGUAACACGUAUCCAACCUGCCCUUUACUCGGGGAUAGCCUUUCGAAAGAAAGAUUAAUACCCGAUAGUAUAAUGAUUCCGCAUGGUUUCAUUAUUAAAGGAUUCCGGUAAAGGAUGGGGAUGCGUUCCAUUAGGUUGUUGGUGAGGUAACGGCUCACCAAGCCUUCGAUGGAUAGGGGUUCUGAGAGGAAGGUCCCCCACAUUGGAACUAAGACACGGUCCAA
rnacentral:rRNA from 1 species